GCCGAGGUCGCAUAAUUGGUAUUGCGGGGGACUGAAGAUCCCUUUGGCUCCCCAAGCCAUCGCGGGUUCGAAUCCCGCCCUCGGCG
rnacentral:tRNA from 1 species